rnacentral:rRNA from 1 species
UACGUAGGGCGCAAGCGUUAUCCGGAAUUAUUGGGCGUAAAGAGCUCGUAGGCGGUUUGUCGCGUCUGCCGUGAAAGUCCGGGGCUCAACUCCGGAUCUGCGGUGGGUACGGGCAGACUAGAGUGAUGUAGGGGUAGACUGGAAUUCCUGGUGUAGCGGUGAAAUGACGCAGAUAUCAGGAGGAACACCGAUGGCGAAGGCAGGUCUCUGGGCAUUAACUGACGCUGAGGAGCGAAAGCAUAGGGGAGCGAACAGGA